CAAAAUGUAGCUUAAUUUUAAAGCACUUCGCUUACACCGAAGUUAUCUCUGUGUAAACCCAGAUCGUUUUGA
rnacentral:tRNA from 1 species